GGCCCGGUAGCUCAGCUGGUUAGAGCGCUGCCCUGUCACGGCAGAGGUCAGGGGUUCGAACCCCCUUCGGGUCGCCA
rnacentral:tRNA from 1 species